AUGUGCCGCACUAAAGCCCGCGUCGAGCCGCGUGCCCAAGCACUGGAACAAACCCUAACUCCUACCCCCGCAUCCAAGAUGGUUGCCCAACGGCAACGAUCCAGUUCAUGUAGCAGCCGCCGCCACCUCGCCGGCUCUCUCAUGUUCCUCGCGACGACCGCCUUCGCGCUCCUCCUCCCCCGCUCGUCGCCCCUCAGCUAUGGCAUCGUUAUUGACGCCGGCAGCACGGGGAGCCGCGUCCACGUCAUCACCUACCACGCGGGCGCGCUCCUGCAGCUGGAUUGGUCGCGCACGUCGUCACUGAAGGCCACCCCUGGUUUGUCCUCGUUCGCAGCCGACCCAGGCAGCGGGGGCCUGUCGAUCGCCCCGCUAUUGGAGUUCGCAAGGCGGCACGUGCCGCGGGAUAGUUGGGUUCACACCGAGGUGCGACUCAUGGCCACGGCCGGAGUCCGUCUGCUUGAUGUCACGACUGCUGAAGCGAUCAUGGAGUCAUGCAGGGAGCUGCUUCGGGGGUCAGGCUUCCGUUUCCAGGAUCAGUGGGCCACUAUGAUCUCAGGAGCUGAUGAAGGGAUUUAUGCAUGGGUUGCGGCAAAUUAUGCAUUGGGUACUCUCGGUGGUGCUAGACAAGAUACUACUGGGAUAAUUGAGCUUGGUGGGGCUUCUAUUCAGAUAACGUUCGCCACCGAUAAACCUAUGCCUCCGGAGUUCUCCCACGUGUUCAAGUUCGGCGAUAUCACAUAUAACCUGUACAGCCACAGUUUUCUACAUCUUGGUCAGAAUGUAGCAUAUGAAUCACUCCAUGAUUUGCUGAGCACACCCCUUAAAUCAAUGUCCACACAUUUAAUUCAUCAAGCUACAUACAGAGAUCCUUGCACCCCAAGGGGAUUUUCACGCAUGGCGGGACCAGUUAAACUUCCCGCUAGUGUUCUCGAGUCCAAGGCUGACUACAAACAUUUUGCUCAUGCGGUUGGCAACUUCUCUGAGUGUAGAUCUGUGGUGAGAACAUUAUUGCAGAAAGGACAAGAGGAAUGUAUAUAUCAUGAUUGUCGUCUGGGAGCAGCAUUUGUACCAGACCUGGAAGGAAAAUUCUUAGCAACCGAGAAUUUCUACCAUACCUUGAAGUUCUUUGGGCUCCGUUCGAAGUCUUUUCUUUCUGAUUUGAUGCUGGCUGGAGAGCAAUUUUGCCAUGGGGACUGGUCAUCAAACAUUAAAAGGAAGUACCGUUCUUUCAAUAAGGGGGAACUGCUCCUUUUUUGCUUCUCCUCAGUGUAUAUUGUGGCCUUACUGCAUGAUACUCUAAAAGUGCCCAUGGAUCAUAAGAACAUUGAUGUUACAAAUCAAAUUCGGGGUGUGCCAGUUGACUGGGCAUUGGGCGCUUUCAUUGUGCAGAAAAACUAA
rnacentral:rRNA from 1 species